rnacentral:tRNA from 1 species
AGGCGGAUAGCUCAGUGGGAAGAGCGCCGGCCUUACAAGCCGGAGGUCGCAGGUUCAAUCCCUGUUCCGCCUACCA